CGAUUACCAGAAGGCUUAUUAG
rnacentral:miRNA from 1 species